GGCCGUGAGAUGGCGUGUGUUUGGCCGUGAAAAGCCAGACGACGUGAAUUCGAAGCCUGUCGACUAUCUGGCAACCAACCCUGGUUGGCUGGCUUAUUGUAGAAGCAAGUUUGUUGCACGUUUGUUUCUUCUCUAUAAAAAUUCUGUAGAAGGCUGAACAUUGCAAUAUGCACUUCUGAAAAUCCCAGCAAACCAGUGGACUCAUCCUCCUCAGCUCGAUGACUAUAAUGUUGCUUUCGUGUUUUGCGCUCGUUCAUUCUGCUGAAUGUAAAACUUUUGUAGAAGGCUGAACAUUGCAAUAUGCACUUCUGAAGAUCUCAGUAAACCAGUGGACUCAACCUGCUCAGCUUGAUGUCUAUAAUGUUGCUUGCUUUUUUGUGCUCAUUAAUUCUGCUGAAUGUAUUAAAUUUUUGUAGAAGGCUGAACAUUGCAAAGAUCUCAGCAAACCAGUGGACUCAUCCUGCUCAGCUCAAUGGCUAUAAUGUUGCUUUCUUGUUUUGUGCUCUUUAAUUCUGCUGAAUGUGCUCUAUGAUGACUCAUUCCGGAAACUGAUCGACAAUCUGGUAUUGGCUUUCUAGAUAAUUGCACGAUUUAGUAUUCAGUAUUUCAGUUAAUAAUAAAUAUUCAUAGUGUAUUAAGUUAUUGUAAUAAUUGUAAUAAUAUUGAAUAAAUAAAUAUUAAUUGUAUUCAGUA